AUUGAACGCUGGCGGAAUGCUUUACACAUGCAAGUCGAACGGCAGCACGGGAGCUUGCUCCUGGUGGCGAGUGGCGAACGGGUGAGUAAUACAUCGGAACGUACCCAGUUGUGGGGGAUAACACAUCGAAAGAUGUGCUAAUACCGCAUACGACCUGAGGGUGAAAGGGGGGGAUCGCAAGACCUCUCGCAGUUGGAGCGGCCGAUGUCGGAUUAGCUAGUUGGUAGGGUAAAGGCCUACCAAGGCGACGAUCCGUAGCUGGUCUGAGAGGACGACCAGCCACACUGGGACUGAGACACGGCCCAGACUCCUACGGGAGGCAGCAGUGGGGAAUUUUGGACAAUGGGGGCAACCCUGAUCCAGCCAUUCCGCGUGAGUGAAGAAGGCCUUCGGGUUGUAAAGCUCUUUCGGCAGGAACGAAAAGGUGGGUCCUAAUACGAUCUGCUCAUGACGGUACCUGAAGAAGAAGCACCGGCUAACUACGUGCCAGCAGCCGCGGUAA
rnacentral:rRNA from 1 species